CUGUCAGUGUAAUGGUUAAACAUUUGACUGCUAACCAAAAGGCUGGUAGUUCAAACCCACCCAG
rnacentral:tRNA from 1 species